rnacentral:rRNA from 1 species
GACGAACGCUGGCGGCGUGCUUAACACAUGCCAGUCGAACGGCAAGGCCCUGCUUUUGUGGGGUGCUCGGGGGCCGAACGGGUGAGUAACACGUGAGUAACCUGCCCUUCACUUUGGGGUAAGUUCAGGUAAGUGGGGCUAAUACCGGAUAGGAGCUCCUGCUGCAUGGUGGGGGUUGGAUAGUUGCGGCGGUUGGGGAUGGACUGGCGGCUUAUGUGCUUGUUGGUGGGGUAGUGGCUUACCAAGGCUUUGACGGGUAGCCGGCCUGUGAGGGUGACCGGCCACAUUGGGACUGAGAGACGGCCCAGACUCCUACGGGAGGCAGCAGGGGGGAAUAUUGCACAAUGGGCGGAAGCCUGAUGCAGCAACGCCGCGUGCGGGAUGACGGCCUUCGGGUUGUAAACCGCUUCCGCCUGUGACGAAGCGUGAGUGACGGUAAUGGGUAAAGAAGCACCGGCUAACUACGUG